GACGAACCGUGCGAACGUUGUUCGGAAUCACUGGGCUUAAAGGGCGCGUAGGCGGGCCGCCAAGUUCGAGGUGAAAUCCUCCGGCUCAACCGGAGAACUGCCUCGAAUACUGGAGGCCUCGAGGCGGGUAGGGGCGUGCGGAACUGUGGGUGGAGCGGUGAAAUGCGUUGAUAUCCACAGGAACUCCGGUGGCGAAGGCGGCACGCUGGACCCGAUCUGACGCUGAGGCGCGAAAGCCAGGGGAGCAAACGGG
rnacentral:rRNA from 1 species